rfam:Brachypodium distachyon strain Bd21 chromosome 2, whole genome shotgun sequence.
UUAAUACUCCCUCCGUCUCAUAUUAAAUGACUUUCUAUUACAUGUAUCUAGACGCUUUUUAGGCAUAAAUACAUUGAUAUUUGGGCAAAUUUGAGUCAUUUAAUAUGACACGGAGGGAGUACUAU